GCAUUACAGGACAGUAUAUGAAGUGAAAGAUGCUCAACACAAAAGAAUGCAUACUGUAUAAUUUUAUUUAAAGAGGUUAAAAAACAGUUAAAACAAAUACAUGGCAAUAGAAAUCAGUAAGUGGCUGUCUCUGAGGAGCUGGAUGGAACAGACCGGAAAGAAGUUCAAGGAAAGAUUCUGUAUCUUGUUUUGGUUCAUGAUUACAUAAGUGUAUAUAACCAUCAAAACUUCAACUCAACAUUUAGGCCCAUGCAUUUUAUUAUAUGUAAAUUAUCUGAAUUUUUUUUAAAUAAGCAAAAAAUAAAAUGAAUAACAAUAUUGAUAAGAAAGAAAAAAUACUGAAUCAAGAUUAUAAAGGAACGACCCCAAAGAUUAUGUCUGCUCUUAAGAAAUAGAGAAAUAGGUGAUAAUUUACCAUCCAACAGAAAAAAAAGUUACCUCUCUUUAGGAGACAGUCCUGAAAACAGAAACACUGACUUAAGGCCUAAAAGGUUCUAAAGCAGCUUUUCAUCCUCAACUCCAACUCUGAGAACUUCAGUUCUACCUGAUGAAGAAUUAUAUCAACCUAAUAUGUGAUAACAAGGAAGAUAUACAUUAAAAGCAAUAAGUAAUCCCUUAUCCCAAACUGCCUUAAUAGAAAUAUUAUACAUCCGUAUCCUUUAUACCUGCCAUGAGGGCAACCAGCCCACCAUUUCUACAAGCCCUUUGGUGAGCAAGAGUUGUUUCUUUAUAAAAAUAAUAAAAAAAUUAGUAGUCCUGCCUUACCUAAAGUAACAAUUUUCAAG
rnacentral:lncRNA from 1 species